CGCUCUCUCUCUUAAAAUAAUCAUUUUUUUUUUUGUAUAAACUUGUGCUCACACCAAUCUAGCAUGAGUGCAUCCUAAAAGGUCAAAAAAUAAAAUAUCCUGUAAGGCUCGUGGGCAAGUCAGUCUCUGAUGCCAGAUCUAGUCUUCUGUGUGCUUAGUCACAUAAGAGGUGAUCCAAUCAGCGAUACUAUUCGUCUCUCGAAAGAUGUGCUAAGCCAAAACCACCGUGAAGUCUUGAAGGCAAGUCCGAAUGUCAUAAAGGAGUAAAUGGUCAUCUACCUGCAUUG
rnacentral:lncRNA from 1 species